UCAGAACCUCUGGCAGUUGGCCUGUUUCUCUUGACUUGUUGAGAACUGUGGCUAGUGGUUCACACACAUUGUUACUGCACUCUCUCAGGACCAUUCAUGGAGGAGAUAGUAUCUGGUUCCAUUGCCUUCAAGAGGAGCACAUCACAUUUUUUUCUGGAUGACAGGGAGCAAACUCCUCGUGUGUGAGCAUGGAUAAGUAUAUAACUAGACUCAAAGAAGAAGUGCAGAUUAUGAUGUCAGCCAAAACUUGAGAAAAGUACAGACAAGUCAGCACUGAUGAUGAGAGAUGAUGUCAAGAAUGAAGUUGACAGUGAUACAUUGCCUCCUAGCAACUAAGAGCAGCAUCCCAUGCUUCACUGACGUAGUUCCUUCACACACUCCUGACAGCCUCAGCCAAAUGUGUAAACCAUCUCAGAGAGUGAACCGACCGCUGUGGUUACGACUUGCUUAAUGCCAUCACAUGUGGCCAGACAAUGCCAAUGAAGCACAUCUUUUGUUUUUUAUAAAUCAUUGACAGUAAAUAUGUACUUGAUACACAUACUGGACCGGCUGAGUCAUACAGUCAUACCUCAGGUUUGGUAAGGUUAAGUAAGAUUAGGUUAAGUUGGGUUGGUACGUUAAUAAUCAGCACAACGGUCGGACCGCUCUCUCUCUCUCUCCUAUGUCUGGAUUAUUUGUGGAUUGUUCCAGUCAGAGUAAUGUGCCUUUUUAUUGUUUAGGCUGGGUUGGGUUAGGUUAGGCAAAAUAAGUUUAGGUUAGAUUAGGUUAGGUUAAAAUAGGUUAGGUUAAGAUUUGUUAAGUUAGGUUAUUUUAGGUUGGAUUAAAUGGAUUCCGUACUGCCCAUGGUAAAGUACACUAAAUACUGGACAUUUUAAGCAAUAAAUUAUAACUCAAUUGUUACAAGAAUUUCAUUUAGGCAAUUAACUAUUUUUUACCUAACCUAACCUGUCCUAACCUAGCCAAGCCUAUCAUAACCUAAACUAUCCUAACCUAUCCUAACCUAGCCUAACCUAUCCUAAUCUAUCCUAACCUAACCUCUCCUAACUUAUCCUAACCUAAAUCAACAUAGCAUAACCUAUUCUAACCUAUCCUGUCCUAACCUAACGUAUCGUAACCUAACCUAACCUAUUAUAAUGUGGCAUGCUAAGAGUAUGUUCUAAUUUAUUCGGCGUAUGUCACACUCCCAUAUAGGCUGCCUCCUAACCAGCAAACCGGGUGCUAAGGGUUUAACGAUCGAUAGGGCACCUGUCGUUCAAUCAGUACCUUGGUUCAUUGACCAAUCACAGGGAAGCCCACCAAAGCUGAAGCAAUGUGGUUCACUUGCAGUAAGCAUUGGCAGACUUGCCUACCUGCUGGUUGAGUACAGUGCUCUCUCUCUGGGUUCUACUUUGCCAUCUGUCACAGUGAUGUACACUUAUUAUUAUUCUAUCUGUACAUAUAGUACAUACCUGUAUUUAGUGGAUGAAGGCAAAUAUACGUUAUAAUCUAC